GGCAUACCUGGAGAGAGUUACAUAUAGCACUUAAAUCAAAUCAAAUGUAGUGCCAAGCAUUUUUGGAUCUGUGUUGAAAUGUAACUAUACAACUGACAUUAAAUUGCUUGUUACUGGCGUAUGAAGUGGCGGAGGUCCCCGUGUUUCAUAUAAGGUAGUACCACCAGGGGGAGCCCUUCCUGAGGCAACAGGAUGCCCAGCAGAGAGAGAACGUUGGUGUGAUGGAACCCCUUCAUCAGGAUGCCCUCCUUCAGAAACUGCUCUACCUCCUCUACAUCUGUUAUUCCUGAUAUGACACACACACAUGCAUGUACGUACGCAGGGCAUACACACAUAUAUUGACGUAAAAACUGCUUAUGAACAGUCAACUUUUACAGAUAAAGCUUAAAAACCCUAAACAAACCACA